rnacentral:lncRNA from 1 species
CUUCUUCCCCGUCGCUUCUUCUUCGCCAUCACAACGCCCUACGCAUUCAAUUCCCUCCCAUCGCGGCGCUCCUGUUCUCCCCAUAACAUCCGCGAGUGUUCUCCACGGCCUCCCCUUUUCCUCUUCAUCUUCUCCAAUCCACAGAUCCACUAAUCUCUUGCGAUAGAAACUGCCAAGAAAAGAAACGGCUGGGUUUACUGCUCCUGCUCACGCGCGAGUAACAGAAGCACUUCCCCCCUCCCCUUUUAAGUGGAGAACCUGCUCCAUUCCCGUUGUCUCAUGCCCACACCUCUGAUGCACAGUCGCCACGUUUCGUCCUCCACAGUCCGUAUGAUCAUGGACAUUGAUGGGAUGAUGAACAGAUCUACUAAUCAUCGCCUACUGGUGCCGCACGUGCUCCCCGAGACACGCCUAUAGCCUUCGGCGUCGCCUCGCUUCUCCAUGCAAGGUUCUCCCUAUGCCUUGUUCCUUGCGGCGUUCAUUGAUUCUGGUCCCGUACAUCCAGUUUUUUGUUUUUUAUAGGUCUGUUCUUAAUACAGAGAUGUGACAACUGAUGUCUGUAGAACUGCACAAGCUAACCGUGUUCCAAUAUUCAUGCUUGGUUGAUGCAAAUAUCAGAUUAUAGAGAUGCUGAAACUUGAUACUAUCGAUCUGACUGCUAUACUAAUAUUUCACUCUUAAAUUUAACUGUCUUCUCAAAGCUGCAGGUCAAAUUGACUUAUCUACAAAUGUAUACCCAUAAAAAGCCUUGACGCUACCAUGUAUUGCCACUGUUACUUUGCUACUUACUAUAUGAAGCUACAUAAAAUGCUCCCUUACUUUGGUGCUCGCUGCUACCAACUGAUCAAAUAGUGUGAUCCAUGAUUUUCUACAUGGACAUUACCGAAUUUUUUACCAUCUUUAGUCUACAGGUAGAACUUCAUAGCCAUAUCAGCAUACCUAUGUGGUCAAUACAGUUUGUUUAAUCAUCAAACAAAUUACUACUAAGUUACUGAAUUGGAACUGUCCUUAUGAUGCCACCAUUUCGUGCAGUUUUCUCUUGCAAUCAUUAAUGGGAGGGUGGGAAACGUACUAGGCGAGGACCCGGCUGUGCCCUCGACAUGGCCUGUGACCCGUUACCAUCCCCUCUAUGUGCCAGGUUCUCUCUUUUUCUAUUAGAUUACUAUGGUGAACUUGACACUUGACCGAUAUAUUCACUUCAGUGAAACAAUGUUCGUAUUAUGAGACACAUCCGUGUGUUUGCAUUUUCCCCACCUUAUGUAUUAACAUGUUAUUAACUAAAUCAAUGUAAUGAGACACUUUCUGAGAGCAGUUUUAAGGUUAACUAGCAUGUGGAGCACAAUACAAGGGACCAUAUUAUUCUGGUAGUUGGUAAUGAGUUUCUGAUAACCUUUUUACUGAACCCUUGUGGGUAUAAGAUUGGGAGUCACGCGGUUCGACAAGGUCAUGGACGUACUCGUGGAUCACAUCACCGGUUCUAAUCCCUUGACCAACCCCGGUUGCAGGAGCUGAAAACUACCGUACCUAACUUUAGAGGUUAGUUAGGUUGAUGAAGAACCUGAUAUCUCAAGUUCUCCUGUAUUAUAUCUAUCACUUUAUCUAAAAGCAGAUGAGAUCUCAAGUAUUCUUCUUAUCAAUCAAAACAACAUCUUAACACAAAAGUUCACUAACUCUAUAGCCAAACUAAGAAUAGUCAUCUUUGCAAGCACCAAAUUUGACCUUUUUCCAUAUGCGUAUUCUGUAAGCUUCUGUCAUUCACUUCUCUUCUUGGUAGCUUGCAGGCAUAUGUAGUACUAUUUUCAGACAAAUAACGUUUAGUGACCCAUCUUCCAGGAGCCAUCUUUAAGCCCUUACAGCUUGGGGGGCUCAACAUUCUGGCCGACUACAUGUACUUACUUGAACUAUGUCAAUACAGUACAUACACUUUUUGGAAAUUUGUCGUCUUACCAUUGUGUGAAUGCUUGCUAUGGUUGUAUUGCCUAUUGUUUAUUAUCCAUGUUUUGAUAGUGGGCUCUGCUCUUCAGCAGCCAUUCACAAGUUCCCAUGGACAAAUCUAUCAUAUUAUUUGUU